rnacentral:rRNA from 1 species
UAGAGGAAGUAAAAGUCGUAACAAGGUUUCCGUAGGUGAACCUGCGGAAGGAUCAUUAAUGAAUUUUGAAAGGGGUUGUAGCUGGCCGUCUCUUUGGGGCGGCAUGUGCACGCCCUGAUCACUAUCCAUCUCACACACCUGUGCACACACUGUAGGUUGGCUUGUGAUCGGAGYUACGGUCUUCAUUGACUUUGCUCUGGUUGGAGGCCCUCCUAUGUAUCAUCACAAACUACUUCAGUUUAAAGAAUGUACUCUUGCGUCUAACGCAUUUAAAUACAACUUUCAGCAACGGAUCUCUUGGCUCUCGCAUCGAUGAAGAACGCAGCGAAAUGCGAUAAGUAAUGUGAAUUGCAGAAUUCAGUGAAUCAUCGAAUCUUUGAACGCACCUUGCGCUCCUUGGUAUUCCGAGGAGCAUGCCUGUUUGAGUGUCAUGGAAYUCUCAACUCUAUUUGCUUUUGUGAAUAGAGCUUGGAUUUGGAGGUUUAUUGCUGGUACUUGUGAUCGGCUCCUCUUGAAUGCAUUAGCUCGAACCUUUGCGGAUCAGCUAUCGGUGUGAUAAUUGUCUACGCCGUUGCAGUGAAGCAUAUCAAUGGGCUCGGCUUCCAAUCGUCCUUUACUGGACAAUGACUUUGACCUYUGACCUCAAAUCAGGUAGGAUUACCCGCUGAACUUAAGCAUAUCA